UGGGGAAUAUUGGGCAAUGGGGGAAACCCUGACCCAGCAACGCCGCGUGAAGGAUGAAGUAUUUCGGUAUGUAAACUUCGAAAGAAUAGGAAGAAUAAAUGACGGUACUAUUUAUAAGGUCCGGCUAACUACGUGCCAGCAGCCGCGGUAAUACGUAGGGUGCAAGCGUUAAUCGGAAUUACUGGGCGUAAAGCGUGCGCAGGCGGUUGUGUAAGUCAGAUGUGAAAUCCCCGGGCUCAACCUGGGAAUUGCAUUUGAGACUGCACGGCUAGAGUGUGUCAGAGGGGGGUAGAAUUCCACGUGUAGCAGUGAAAUGCGUAGAUAUGUGGAGGAAUACCGAUGGCGAAGGCAGCCCCCUGGGAUAACACUGACGCUCAUGCACGAAAGCGUGGGGAGCAAACAGGAUUAGAUACCCGCGUAGUCCCUGAGCGGGCUGGCAAGGCGCAU
rnacentral:rRNA from 1 species